UCGCGCUAGACGGGAAACUAGCGGUGUCCUGUAACUCGCAAUCCGCUUCAGCGAGGUCGAAUUCCCACUUGAGGGCGUCUUGCUCUUUAUAGGCGUGGCGCACGUGGCGUUGACGGCUGGGUCCUGCUCAACGGGACGCCGGCGAACCCGGUCAGGUCUUGACAGAAGCAGCCGUAGCCGGAUUGCCCCGUGUGCUGCAGGAGUGCCUGGCCCGAGCCGGCGGCGCCGCAAACCGUUCUGGGCAAGCGUUCGAGGGUGGGUGCGCGA
rnacentral:SRP_RNA from 1 species